UACGUAGGGGGCAAGCGUUGUCCGGAUUUAUUGGGCGUAAAGAGCGUGUAGGCGGUUUGGUAGGUCCGCUGUGAAAACUCGAGGCUCAACCUCGAGACGCCGGUGGAAACCAUCAGACUAGAGUCCGGAAGAGGAGAGCGGAACUCCUGGUGUAGCGGUGGAAUGCGCAGAUAUCAGGAAGAACACCGGUGGCGAAGGCGGCUCUCUGGGCCUUACCUGACGCUGAGGAGCGAAAGCGUGGGUAGCGAACAGG
rnacentral:rRNA from 1 species